GGCUAAACCAUGCACCGAAGCUGCGGCAGCGACGCUGAUGCGUUGUUGGGUAGGGGAGCGUUCUGUAAGCCUGCGAAGGUGGCCUGUGAGGGUUGCUGGAGGUAUCAGAAGUGCGAAUGCUGACAUAAGUAACGAUAAAGCGGGUGAAAAGCCCGCUCGCCGGAAGACCAAGGGUUCCUGUCCAACGUUAAUCGGGGCAGGGUGAGUCGACCCCUAAGGCGAGGCCGAAAGGCGUAGUCGAUGGGAAACGGGUUAAUAUUCCCGUACUUGGUGUUACUGCGAAGGGGGGACGGAGAAGGCUAUGUUGGCCGGGCGACGGUUGUCCCGGUUUAAGCGUGUAGGUGUGUGUUCCAGGUAAAUCCGGUUCACUUUAACACUGAGGCGUGACGACGAGGCACUACGGUGCUGAAGCAACAAAUGCCCUGCUUCCAGGAAAAGCCUCUAAGCAUCAGGUAACAUCAAAUCGUACCCCAAACCGACACAGGUGGUCAGGUAGAGAAUACCAAGGCGCUUGAGAGAACUCGGGUGAAGGAACUAGGCAAAAUGGUGCCGUAACUUCGGGAGAAGGCACGCUGACACGUAGGUGAAGUGAUUUACUCAUGGAGCUGAAGUCAGUCGAAGAUACCAGCUGGCUGCAACUGUUUAUUAAAAACACAGCACUGUGCAAACACGAAAGUGGACGUAUACGGUGUGACGCCUGCCCGGUGCCGGAAGGUUAAUUGAUGGGGUCAGCGCAAGCGAAGCUCCUGAUCGAAGCCCCGGUAAACGGCGGCCGUAACUAUAACGGUCCUAAGGUAGCGAAAUUCCUUGUCGGGUAAGUUCCGACCUGCACGAAUGGCGUAAUGAUGGCCAGGCUGUCUCCACCCGAGACUCAGUGAAAUUGAACUCGCUGUGAAGAUGCAGUGUACCCGCGGCAAGACGGAAAGACCCCGUGAACCUUUACUAUAGCUUGACACUGAACAUUGAGCCUUGAUGUGUAGGAUAGGUGGGAGGCUUUGAAGCGUGGACGCCAGUCUGCGUGGAGCCGACCUUGAAAUACCACCCUUUAAUGUUUGAUGUUCUAACGUGGACCCGUGAUCCGGGUUGCGGACAGUGUCUGGUGGGUAGUUUGACUGGGGCGGUCUCCUCCUAAAGAGUAACGGAGGAGCACGAAGGUUGGCUAAUCCUGGUCGGACAUCAGGAGGUUAGUGCAAUGGCAUAAGCCAGCUUGACUGCGAGCGUGACGGCGCGAGCAGGUGCGAAAGCAGGUCAUAGUGAUCCGGUGGUUCUGAAUGGAAGGGCCAUCGCUCAACGGAUAAAAGGUACUCCGGGGAUAACAGGCUGAUACCGCCCAAGAGUUCAUAUCGACGGCGGUGUUUGGCACCUCGAUGUCGGCUCAUCACAUCCUGGGGCUGAAGUAGGUCCCAAGGGUAUGGCUGUUCGCCAUUUAAAGUGGUACGCGAGCUGGGUUUAGAACGUCGUGAGACAGUUCGGUCCCUAUCUGCCGUGGGCGCUGGAGAACUGAGGGGGGCUGCUCCUAGUACGAGAGGACCGGAGUGGACGCAUCACUGGUGUUCGGGUUGUCAUGCCAAUGGCACUGCCCGGUAGCUAAAUGCGGAAGAGAUAAGUGCUGAAAGCAUCUAAGCACGAAACUUGCCCCGAGAUGAGUUCUCCCUGAGACUUAGAGUCUCCUGAAGGAACGUUGAAGACGACGACGUUGAUAGGCCGGGUGUGUAAGCGCAGCGAUGCGUUGAGCUAACCGGUACUAAUGAACCGUGAGGCUUAACCUUACAACGCCGAAG
rnacentral:rRNA from 1 species